rnacentral:rRNA from 1 species
UCUUGGUCAUUUAGAGGAAGUAAAAGUCGUAACAAGGUUUCCGUAGGUGAACCUGCGGAAGGAUCAUUAUUGAAGAAAACUUUUCAAGGUUUUUCAAUAUUCCCUGUUUAUAUUAAAUACGUUCCUUCCACCGGACAGGUCUUUAGGACCCUCUAGCUUGGGCAAAUGCCUUUGCUGGGGAGCUGCCGGUGGCGUUUCUGAAAACAAAAACUUUUGUUAUUAUGAAAUGUCUGAAUAUACCUUUAAACUAAAUAAAACUUUCAACAACGGAUCUCUAGGCUCUUGCAUCGAUGAAGAACGCAGUGAAAUGCGAUAAGUAAUGUGAAUUGCAGAAUCUCGUGAAUCAUCGAAUCUUUGAACACACAUUGCGCCCUAUGGUAUUCCGUAGGGCAUGCCUGUCUGAGCGUCAACUUCCACCCUCUCAAGUCUUCUUUUUUGGAGAUUUGGAUUACUUGGAGGAAGUGAACACUUUUUAUAGUGCCGCUCCUCUAAAAUUCAUAGGCAGUAUGGUCAAACCUGAACCAGGCGUAAUAAUUCUAUAAAAAUCGUCUAUGAAGGAAUGUCUGUAUUAGCCUUUAACCCCCAAUUUAUUUUACUUGGGUGACCUCAGAUCAGGUAGGGAUACCCGCUGAACUUAAGCAUAUCAAUAAGC